rnacentral:misc_RNA from 1 species
AAUUAUCAACACCAUUUUGAUUUGUUUCAACUUGGUGUUUGGAUGUUGAGGGUUUGCUGGCGUCUCACGUCGGCUCCCUUUAAAUAUAUUAGCGGAACUAUGCAGGACCGGCCUUGGUUUGAUAAUCCUAUCUAUGCCAUCGCUGAGAAGCUCUUGUUCAGCUUAUAGCUGUCUUAGGACUGUCUCCUUGGAGGCAUACUUUUAA